GGGGCGUAGCUAGAACGAAACGAUGUGCAAGCAACUACCGCCGAGCGGAGCGAGGCGAAAAAUUUUUGGGACCCUUUUAUGCAGAUUUUUUUUUUUUUUUUUUUCGGUUUUCGGUCAUAGGACGGUUAAAAGAGGAGCUACAUGUAGAAAGGACUUAUAAACAAUUUAUGAAUGAAAACUAUUAAUUAAUCUUCUGAAUAGAGUAAAUCCUGGUAAAUUGAAUACAUAAACAACACAUUUUUGUGAUACCGAAAUUACUCAAAAUUGUCCAAAAUCUGCUCUUCGGGUCUAGGCAGAAACGAACUUCUCUAUUACUUUGUCAAUAUUAACACUGAAUUCCCGAUGAAUAUGCAGUAAUGCUAGCGAUGAUAACCUGUCGUUGUUCAUUGUUGAUCGUACAUUUGCAAGUUUUCAACAGACGUAGUACCUUGAUAUAUCUCCACGGUAGCACUCGCGAGGUGUUAUAAAUCAACGUACGUGUUCGCCAUCGAGCGACCUCCCAAUUGAAUUCGUCAAAAUUACAUGCCAGGUCAGUUUCGUAUGUCUCAGAGAUUUCUUCGUUUAUUAUAUUUCCAACAACACAAGGAAGCAGAU
rnacentral:lncRNA from 1 species